UCAUUUUCUUGGAUCAUGUUAAGUUUAUGUGAUAGUUGUAGUAAAGCUUUAUAUUUAGGACUAUCAACAUAAUAUCAAUGGUUAGUAAAGAUGGCGAGACAUUUUAGCGUGUGCACUCUUGUUUUUAUAAACCUAAGUAUUUUCUUUUAUGUUACUGUUUUUAGCAAGGUCUGUUUCCAUCGACUGUGUUUCUUGAAUAACCGAUCCUUUGCAUGUUCACCUGCUGCAGCAGUAGCACCGUCUGAUCUGAGGCUGCAAAUACCAAAAUAUUUAUCUAAACCUGCUGAUUUACAAAAAACAUAAAUGAGGAAAGAUAAAAUCUGUACUAUUUGAUUCGAUAUCUGCUUUUGACAAAUAUCUGAGUUACAUGUAUGCUAACAGGACAUGUGACAUUAUCUUUACUAGAAAUAACAACUUCUCUACCUUCACGAUAAACAUUGGUUUUUGAUAGCUUCUAUAAGGGAGCUACCAUUUGAUUUUUAUGGGGGGGGGGGGGGGGCUAGGAUUGAAUUUGAAAAAAAAUAGGCAGGACAGCAGUUUUGAGUAAAAAAAAAAAGCAGGAUGCGACACUUUGCAAAAAAAAGGCAGGAUGACAAUUUAUGUAAAAAAAAGUCAGAAUAAACUAAAAAAAAAAAAGGCAGGACCGAAUAGAGUGAAAAAUAAAAAGGCAGGACAGAGAUUACUACUAAAAAAAAAGGCAGGACAAUAUUUUUCAUCCUAGCAUCCCCCCCAUAAAAAUCAAUGGCAGCUCCCUAAACCGUCACAAAAUGAAUUAUGAUGGCGCUUAAUGCCACAUUGCUAGAUAACUCUGAAUAUCUUCAAAAUGAUCUUAGAAAACCUGAGUAACUCUAUAUGCACAUGAGUCAUGAUGCUUGGAAUUCUAAACUCUUUCAAAUGUGAAGUACACUAUUUGUUUUAGAAUUUCUUGUGUAACGUACUGGAUCCAUCUCAACAUUGUUAUGUCCAAUCAAUCUCAUAGAUCCCUCUUUAACAGUGACGACUAAAUUAGACUCACAUGAAUUUCGUAACACCUGCUAACUUAUGAACCCAGUUAAUACUAUAAAUUGAUUCGUUAAUGCUACUUGAAACCCUUGUCAUCCCAGUAACUUAUUGGAAAGUCAUGGACCAAAUCCUGGCUUUGUGAUUCUACUCUUGUUUGUAACAAUUUUACAUUUAUCAUCACUCUAUGACCUUUUAUUUAUUGAAAUCGUAUGGUAUAGGCAAGCAAUUAAUCUUCAGCCAAUGCUUAUCACCAUGGCAAAAAAAAAGAAUUAUUUUAGCAGUCUAACGGUUCAAGGCACUACUUUCAUUUUCGUUUAAUUAGAUCUAAACAACAGAUAUUUUUUAAUUUUACUUGUCGUUGUUUUCUUGUUAUUGUUUGUUAAGCUUUUGUUUGUUUUCCUUUUAAUUUAUUGCUGGUAGUAUAGUAAAGAUUGUUAUUUAUAGUUAUGUCUUUCUAGGUUAAUGUGAUGGCUGUAUGUCUGUGUACAAGAGAGUCUGUGAAAAUGACGAGGGCCAACAGAGUUGAUGAUGGUCAUAUCCUUAAUAUCAACAGGUUAAACCUUUAUGGCAGGUGUAGUUUUAAAUCAAAUAGAUUAAUAUAGAGUAUCAGUCCAGGCUAAGUGAAGACUAAUUUUGCCUAUACUACAGUUGGAGAAGCUGCAGCUGACGAAUGUAACAAUACAAGACAAAGUCUGGAUCCUCAGGACAUAGCCAAUGCCAUUGAAACAGUUUUAUAUUUCCCAUCACAUGUUCAGGUUAGACAAGGGUACCAUCAAUGUAUGAGAAAAAGGAGAGGCAGUCGUACGUUAUCGUCUACAGAUUCUAUCAAUAUUAGUUCUCAACGAAGAAUACAUCGGCUGCAAAGUGAUCCCAACAAACAUAUACCUCACCUGCCAAAUGAAGAAUUUAAGAACCCAUCAGACAACUGAGAGGAACAAUUUCCAAAUUAUGCAAAGGACAAAACUCAAAAUGAAGAAAAUUCUAUAUACAACUUCUACAGCCUGACAAGAACUGUAUAUUAUGACUCCAAAUGUGACAAUAGAGGGUAUUCGCCAUUCGCUAAUCCGAAAUAAAAGUGUGGUUCUAUGGAAGUCAUCUAUGCACGAGCUGACUAACAAUAUAUCAUCUUCACUUUACUCACACUAGUUUUUAUUUAUCUUUCAUUAUUAUUUUGGUCAAAAUUUGAAACUUAAUAACAUGGUGCAUGUGAAUUGUCAACAUUAAUGAGACUUCUAUUUUAAUUUUGCCUCUUUGUCUAAAUGGUUUUCACAUAUUAUUAUAUAUCUCUGCUAUCAUACCAUACUCAUUCAUAGUGUUAUAUACCUAGCUGUUAUUUGAAUUUAUGUUUUAAUAACCUCCAAGUCAUUUACAUAAAAAUAAACCUAUUUUUGUGUGUU